rnacentral:rRNA from 1 species
AGAAUCAACGCUGGCGGCGUGCCUAACACAUGCAAGUCGAACGAGAAAGUGGAGCAAUCCAUGAGUAAAGUGGCGCACGGGUGAGUAACACGUGACUAACCUACCCUUGAGUGGGGGAAUAACUUCGGGAAACCGAGGCUAAUACCGCAUAACACCUACGGGUCAAAGGAGCAAUUCGCUUAAGGAGGGGGUCGCGGCAGAUUAGUUAGUUGGCGGGGUAAUGGCCCACCAAGACGGUGAUCUGUAUCCGGCCUGAGAGGGCGCACGGACACACUGGAACUGAAACACGGUCCAGACUCCUACGGGAGGCAGCAGUGGGGAACUUUGCGCAAUGGGGGAAACCCUGACGCAGCAACGCCGCGUGGAGGAUGAAGUCCCUUGGGACGUAAACUCCUUUCGAUCGGGACGAUUAUGACGGUACCGGAAGAAGAAGCCCCGGCUAACUUCGCGCCAGCAGCCGC